rfam:Atta colombica isolate Treedump-2 unplaced genomic scaffold scaffold351, whole genome shotgun sequence.
AUUUCAUGAUGAUUAUAUCACCAUCUUUCGACUGAAUGAUUCUGAGGAUAUAUUUUCUUUUACUGAGCUCAAUU